rnacentral:lncRNA from 1 species
UAACCAACAAAAAUCUUACUGAGUUCCUCAUUUUUUACAGAAGUGAAGGAUGGAAGGGACUCUUUGGACAUACUGAAGGCUUGAUCAAGUUUUAGAGGAAGACAAUAUAAUUAUUUAUGACCUAUGGACACCUGGAGGAAGUGUGUGAGAAAUUUAUCCCGGAUACUUCUUUAGAACAAGAUCAGUGGCAGUAUCUACACCAGAACAUCUUUCCUUUUUGUCCAGAAUGAAUAAGGGUACAGACGUGCUUUGUGGCAAGGAAAAAGUCAGCUUUUCCUUAGUGAUCAGGAGUGAGAAGCACUUUCAUGGCGUUGAAUCUCAGCGGAGUAAGUUGAAUCAUUGCCGUACCCGUAUGCUUGCUGGUAUGAAGGAAAAAAGGAAAACUUUGGUAACUAAUAAAUUCCAUCACCAGGCGCUGGUGCUCACUCCUAUAACCCUAGCUACUCAAGAGGCAGAGAUCAGGAGGACUGUGGAUCAAAGCCAGCCAGGCAAAUAGUUCAAGAGACCCCAUCUCAAAAAAUCCAAUACACACACAAAAAAAAAGGCUGGUGGAGUGGCUCCAAGUGUAGGCUCUGUGUUCAAACCCAGGGCUGCUAAAUAAAUAAGUAAAUAAAUAAAUAAAAUGGAAAGAG